rnacentral:piRNA from 1 species
UGCAGAAGGCAAGGACCAAUGUUUGAU